rnacentral:rRNA from 1 species
GACGAACGCUGGCGGCGUGCUUAACACAUGCAAGUCGAACGGAAAGGCCCUGCUUGCUGGGUACUAGAGUGGCGAACGGGUGAGUAACACGUGGGUGAUCUGCCCUGCACUUCGGGAUAAGCCUGGGAAACGGGGACCAAUACCGGAUAUGACCUUCCAUGUAGUGUGGGGGGCGGAAAGAUUUAUCGGUGUGAGAUGGGCCCGCGGCCUAUCAGCUUGUUGGUGGGGUAAUGGCCUACCAUGGCGUCGGCCGGUAGCCCGCCUGAGGGGGUGGACAGUCACAAUGCGACUGAGGGACGGCCCAGUGGGCAACGGUGGGCAACAGGGGGGAGUAUUGUCCAGUGGUCGCGAGCCUUAGGCAGCGGCGCCGCGGGGGGGAUGACGGCCUUCGGGGUGUAAACCUCUGUCGACAGAUACGAAGCUUCGGUGACGGUACCUAAAGAAGAAGCACCGGCUAACUACGUG